UGUCUCAGAGCAAGAAGGUCAUGGGAUCGAUUCCCACCUGUGGCCUUUCUUUGUGGCAUUUGUAUGUUCUCCCCGUGUUUGUGUGGGUUUCCUCCAGGUGCUUCAGCUUCCUCCCACAACCAAAAACGUGCAGGUUCGGUGGAUUGGAAAUUUUAAAUUCU